rnacentral:rRNA from 1 species
GGAUGCGAUCAUACCAGCACUACCGCACCGGA